GUCCCUUCAAGGGCAUCCGAUAAAAUUGGAAGACACAGAGAGAUUAACAUGGCCAUGACACAAGGAUGACAUUCCCAAAUGGAGAAAUGGUCCAAAUUGUU
rfam:Nicotiana attenuata strain TT chromosome 1, whole genome shotgun sequence.